AUCUUCCCAACCCAGGGAUCAAACCCUGGUCUCCUGAAUUUUCAGACUUCUUUAAGAAGGAACUAAUCAAGACUGGGUUCAGCGUGUCCAGAGUGAUGCAUCUGAAAGGUCCUGUAUCCCCAAAAGAUGGAGUUACUUCAUAUGAAGAACAUGUUUCAAUCCAUUUGUCUCUUCACCUCUUAGGAACAAUGUGACAUGAAAUAGGCACUGAAUUAAUAAAUUAUUUUGAAUUGGAAUCAUAAAUAACACAGUGAGACUCAUG